rnacentral:lncRNA from 1 species
GAGGAGUUGAAUUGAGGCGUGAAUUGAGUUUCACGGACGAAACUCUUUUUAAGGAGUGGAGAAUGUAAUAUACCAGAUUUUGGUAUAAAAAUAAAGAUAAAUAAAAGUAGUGUGAGAUACUAUUUUUAUUGGGCUUCGGAAAGCAAAAUAUAUGUCUAGAGUGACUUGUGCUGAAAUCGGAAUGAAAACAGAAGAUUUAUAAUUUUCUGUUGGAAACAGGGCAGAUAAAAUUAGCAGGAAAUGCACAGGGUCAGAAAAUUAUGAAAAUUGGCGGAAGAUGUCAGAAAUAUUUUUAUGAGGCUAGAUUUAAGGUUUCAUAUUUUUCUGACACCCAUAGAGUGAGAAAUAAAAUCCGAAAGCUAUCUGAUAAAGAUUGCAGUCCGGUAUAGUUUUCGAUGACCAAACGUGGUCGAAACUGAAAGAUUAAAAUUUCUUCGGACUUAUUAAGAAAAAUCGAGCCUGCCUGCCAAAUUUGAACGCAAACGGAUGUUCAGAAGGGCUCCGGCAAAAAAAAGUUAGUUUU